rnacentral:misc_RNA from 1 species
UGGCUCUCGCAUCGAUGAAGAACGCAGCGAAAUGCGAUAAGUAAUGUGAAUUGCAGAAUUCAGUGAAUCAUCGAAUCUUUGAACGCACCUUGCGCUCCUUGGUAUUCCGAGGAGCAUGCCUGUUUGAGUGUCGCCAAAUUAUCAACUCCUUUUCAUUUUGUUGAAAUGUGAGCUUGAAGUUGGGGACUGUCGGUUUUAAAAUCGACUUCCCUUGAAUGCAUUAGCUGGAAGUAAAUUUGCAGCAUAUAUGCGGUGUGAUAAUGUCGUCACUGUAUAGCUACAGAUUGUUCAGGCUUCUAAUCGUCUUUUAUUAGACAAUUUGAUCAUUCUGGCCUCAAAUCAGGUAGGACUACCCGCUGA